rnacentral:lncRNA from 1 species
AUUGACCAAAAUAUAGUCAUUUUCUUCUAAUUGUUCAAGAACCAAACCCCUUAGUCCCUAAAUAAAAAUAAAAAUCACUCAAAAUUCAACCGUAAAUUUAAAAAUUUAUUUAAGAUUCGAAACCCCCAUUGUGAGGGCUACAAGAAACACCCAUCAAUUGUUCGUAUAGCAUCCCAUGAGUGUUCAUUUGAAAGCUUCUAAUUAAAGGUACGCGGAGUUUUUCUAAAAAUCUCACAUGUAUAGAAAUCAUGAUUUUAAGAAAAGAGUUUUGAAUUUAUUAAUAUAUUCAUAUUUUAGAAACAUUAAUGAUAGUGUUUUGGUCUUUAGGCCUCCCCCUAUCUUGUUAUGAUUUUCUUUACUUAUCAUAUGCUAUGGAUUAUCUUGAAUGCAUCAUUUAAAAGCAUGAUAUGAAAUGCCUUAAGUAUUCUUAUAAUUGGAUUAUCAUUUUGAUUUCAAAAAAGAGGGUAGUUAUGUUGAUAAAUGUUUAAAAUAUUCAUAUAAUGAAAGAUUGUAUGAUUUUACCAAAAAAACAGAUGACCACCAUAUGUUUGAAGGAUUAUUGAAUAGUAUUGACUUAUGUUUUAAAACAUGAAAUCUCUUAAACAAUUUGUAUGUUUCGAUGGUCUGAAUUAAGUUUUCAUGAAAGAAUCAUGUAUGAUACAAUGUGGCUCAGAAUUAGGACUUGGAUGUUUUGGUGUAAGAACACGAACUCAAUUAAAGCCAUAGUAAUUCAGAACAAACUAGAACACAUGUUUCAAAUCAGAUUUUUAUAUGUUAAAACUAGAAAUAUGCAUGAUUCAGAACAGGAUAAAGCAUAAAGAGAGCUUAGGUGGUUCUCCAAAGAAUGCAUGAGUUCAGAUAACUCAUUUCCCAAAACCGUGAUUUGUCGAUCCAGGUAUAUUAUUAUACACUGGACUAGUGCCAUGUGGUGUAUCAGACUCAGACACUCCAACCGUUGUGGCACACAUGGGUUAGGGACUUCUUCGCUGAGUCAAUAGCGGAUUCCAUAUAGCCCGUAGAAUAUCAGACUUGAACGGGAGAGCCACAUAACUCAGAAGUAAUACAAAGAUGAAAAAUGAUAUCGUCAAGAAUGGUUUAUGAUUUUUAGAAAAGUGUCCACGUGUUUUGAAACUAUUUUAUGCAUGAUGUUUCGUAACCCGCUCUUAAAUGAUUUUAUAUUUAUGCAAAUUUGUUAUUUUGGAUUUCUUUGCGUACAAGUACAUCUGUAUUAACCCCUUCCCUACCUCUCAGGUUCUGAGGCUCAGUCUAGGGGUUUAGAUAAGUAGUAGAUUUCAUCACACAGAAUUGUAGUGUUCAGUUGGUGAGCCUUCUUUAUUUCAGAAGGCUUGUUUACUUUUCGACAAUUAUUAUUAGUUAUGGUUUUUCUCUACAGGGGGCCUUGUCUUAGUUUUUAGAUUAUGUUAGUGAUCAUGUAGUAGAGAUUUCACAAACAGUUUGCAGAUGUUUUUUAUAUGGUUUUGGAUUUCAUUCUCCAUUGCUAACAUUAUAUUAGAUUUAUGACCAUAAUUCUAUUUCUAAUAAUUUCUUCAUUUCCUUAUUUGUGUAUGAAUGAUGUAUAUGAUUUUAAGUUAGAAGGGUAUACAGGCCUUCAUGGUUUGGGAUGCUCAUCACGGCUAGGGCCUCGGUUUAAGUAAGGACAAACUUGGUGUCAGAGCAUGGUUCAUGGUCCCAGGGUGUCUCGAAAAGCACGUUGGGUAGAGUCUUAUUUAUGGGUGUGUAGUGCACCACACUUAUAAAUAUAAGGCUACUAUUCGUUUAGUAAUGUUUCCCCUCUUUGUGAUUUAGUUCGUGCUUUGGAGUCUAAUCUGUCCUCUAAUCAAUGAUCUCUUACUUUUCAAAAAAAAUCAAGCCUCCUCAUCGCUCCAAUAAUCCGAAUACUUAGGAUAAUAGAGUUCGCCCCACCCAUGGGAUGCAGACCCAUAAUAGAGCGCACACCCCAGAAACUGUGCCUACUUCAAGAGUACCUCCAGUCCUGACCAGGCCUCCUCGAGCUCCAAAAAUAAAUGUUAAUCAUCGCCAAUCUUCUUAGAGGGACAUAUCGAAUGUAGAAUUUAGAUAAUCUAUCCACAUGCUUGCACAACUGAUAUCCAUACAAACUCAGAGGUUGGAGGAUACUGGGUCUAUAUCUAUUACUUUCGAGGCUACUAGGGUGGUCUAGUUCAUGAGAAUGAACCUGCCCAAAUUUACUGGUGCUAAGGUAGAAGAGGACCCACAGGAGUUUGCAUAUGAAAUGGAGAAGAUUUUUAGAGUAAUACAUGUGGAUCAAGUAGAAGGGGUUGAGUUAGUAGUAUACCAGCUUAAGGAUGUAGCUAACCAAUGGUAUAAUAAGUGGUAGGAUGCAAAGGGUGAGAGUGUUGAGGCUACCAUUUGGACCGAGUUUGUGAAAGCUUUUCAUAACCGAUUCUUUCAUUUAGAAUUAAGGUAAGCCAAAGCAGAGGAAUUCAUGAAUCUUAAGUAGGGAAAAAUGAGUGUCUAGGAGUACACUCUGAAGUUUAACCAACUGUCCUAUUAUGCAUCAAAGAUUAUAGGUAAUAUGAGAGCCUGGAUAAAAAAUUUGCAUACAGCCUUUCAGAUAAUCUAGCUCUCGAAUGUUAAGGAGCAAUGCUGGACAGGGAUAUGGACAUUUCUAGGAUAUCAGUGUACAUGUAGCAAGUUUAGAAAAAGAAGAAGAAAAUCACCAAGUUCGGGGAGAAGGACAGGCAGGCAAAGAGAGCCAAAACAGCAGACCAGAGUCACAGUCAGUAGCGGAAUAGUAACUGGGGUAACAAAUUGCAAAAUAAAAAGUUUUGGGGCAAGGUGCAAUCUGCAGCUAGCGCCUCAGUGCCAAGACCCCCAGUUGAAAGAUGAUCCCAGAUUUUUCAGACUAAUCAUGGAUCCAGGGCGCACGAUACCCAGUCACAGGGAAGUAUGGCUAAGUAGGAUCGACUUUUCCAUAGUGUGAGAGUUACGAUAAGCAUCAUCCAGAAAGGUGUCAUCUGGGCUCACUGGUGUGUGAUCAUAUGGUCAGACGGGUUAUUUUUAGAGGGAUUAUCCUUCGGCUAUAAGGAGUGUUGGAGGUGCCAAGUCUCAGCAAACUCUCUGCACCACCACCUUCUGAAAAGGGCGCCCCUUCAGUUGUCGGGAGCGGUCAGAACUGGUUGUACACUUUGACCUACCGUCAAGUGGCAGAGACCUCACCAGAUGUAGUGAACGGUACAUUGCAAAUAUUUUCUCAUGAUGUAUAUUUAUCGCUUGAUCUCGAGUUUACCUUAUCCUAUAUGACCCCGUAUUUGGCUAUUAGUUUUAGGUUUGAGCCGAUGUGAUUGCUGAACCUUUUUCUAUUUCUACCCUAUUGGGAGAUUCUGUUAUGGCUAGGAGGGUAUACAGGAAUUGUGUUGUAUCUAUUUUUAGCCAGGAUACCAUAGCUGACCUUUUAGAGCUUGAUAUGGUUGAUUUUAAUGCCAUCUUAGGGAUGUACUGGCUCCACUCAUGCUAUGCCAAGCUAGACUAUAGAACCCGAAAGGUUUCUUUUUCCUUUUCAAAUGAACCAGUGAUAGAAUGGGAGGGUCAUUCAUUAACACCUAGAGGGAACUUUAUAUCCUAUCUUAGAGCUCGUAAGCUCAUUAUAGAGGUUGUCUAUAUCAUCUGAUAUGAGUAAAAUAUUCUAAUGUUGAGAGUCCAUCUCUUCAAUUAGUCCCUGUGGUAAAUGAGUUUCCAAAAGUCUUUCCAGAUGAUCUUCCAGGAAUAUCAACUGGUAGGGAGAUAGAUUUUGGCAUUGAUUUAUUGCCAGAUACCCAACCUAUUUUUAUUUAUCCAUAUAGAAUGGCUGCUGCAGAAAUGAAAGAGUUGAAAGAGCAGCUGAAAAAUCUCCUAGAUGAAGGCUUUAUCUGUCCUAGUGUUUCUCCCUGCGGUGUGCUAUACUUUUUAUAUGAAAGAAAGAUGAUUCCCUUCGUAUGUGCAUAGAUUACUGCCAGUUGUAUAAGGUCAUAAUUAAAAAUAAAUAUCUUUUUUCUAGGAUUGAUGAUCUUUUUGAACAGCUUCAGGGUGCUAGGUGUUUUUCAAAGAUAGACCUUUGUUUGGGAUACUACUAGUUGAAGAGAGUCAGAUAUUCCCUAAACAUCUUUCCAAACCAUAUAUGGCCAUUAUGAAUUCUUAGUUAUGUCCUUCAGGUUGACUAGUGUCUCUGCAACUUUCAUGGAUCUAAUGAAUAGGGUUUUUCGCUAAUUUCUGGAUCUGCUUGUUAUAGUAUUCAUCGAUGACCUCUUAGUAUAUACUAAGAGUGAGGAGGACCAUGCCAAUCACCUUUAAAUCAAUCUGCAGACUCUCAAAAAUCAUAAGUUGUAUAAAAAAUUUUCCAAGUGUGAAUUCUGGUUGAAUGUUAUUUCUUUCUUGGGGCAUAAUGUGUCUAGUGAGGGAAUUAAGAUUUAUCCCCAAAAGAUUGAGGCAGUGAGAAAAUGGCCCAGACACACGACUCCAACUGAUAUUCGGAGCAUCUUGGUUUUGGCAGGGUAUUAUAGAUGAUUCAUAAAAAGGUUUUCUUCUAUAGCUACUCUACUUACUAAGUUUUCUUAGAAACAGGUAAAUAUGUGUGGUUUGACUCAUCUGAGAAUAGUUUUGAGAAGUUGAAGGACAAGUUGACUAUUGACCUAUGAUGACUCUUCUGGAAGGUACAGAAGGUUUUGUUGUAUACUAUGAUACCUCCCGAGUGGGACUCGAAUGUGUUUUUAUACAUCUUGGUAAGGUGGUGGCUUAUGCAUCUAGGCAGCUAAAAGUGCAUGAGCACAAUUACCCUACCCAUGACUUAGAGUUAGCAGUUGUGGUAUUCAUACUUAGGGUCUGGCGUCAUUAUCUUUAUAGGGUGCAUGUUGAUAUUUUCACUGAUGAUAAAAGUUUACAGUAUGUUUUCUCUCAUAAAGAAUUAAACCUCAAACAAAGGCACUGGAUGAAAUUGCUAAAGAAUUAUGACAUGACCAUGCACUAUCAUCCGGGCAAGGUGAAUAUUGAAGUCGAUGCCCUCAGUAUGUUCUCUAUGGGCAGUCUAUCUAAUGUUAAAGAAAGGAAAAGAGAAAUGGUGAAGGAUAUUCACAAACUUAUGAAUCUUGGGGUAUGACCCUUAGAUUCUGAAGAUGGGAGAGAGGUUGUUCAUAAGAUUGGUAAAUAUUUCCUUUGUGCAAAAGUUAAAGAAAAUCAGGCCAAACAUCCCAUCUUGAUGUAAAUUAAGAAUGAUGUGGGUCAGUAGAAGGUGAUGUCAUUUGAGAUUGGUGGUGAUGGUUUUAUAAGAUAUAAGAGGAGAUUAUGUGUGCCAGAUGUAGAUGGUCUGAAAAAAAGAAUCCUGGGCAUGUUGUUUAUCCAGGCUCCAUGAAGAUGUAUCAUGAUUUAAAAGCAAUAUACUGGUGGAAUAAUAUGAAACAUGAUGUGGCUAAGUUUGUUGCCAAGUGUUUAAAUUAUCAGCAAGUUAAAGUAUAGCAUUUGAGGCCUGGUGGUACUUCCCAAAGGAUAGCUUUACCUUUGUGGAAAUGGGAGAUAAUCAAUAUGGACUUAAUUUAGGGACUUCUGAGGUCCCGAAACCAAUAUGAUUCUAUUUGGGUGAUUAUUGAUCGGCUAACUAAGUCAACCUAUUUUCUGCCUGUUAGGACUAAUUGUUCGAGAGAUGAUUAUGCCAAGCUUUACAUUGAUGAGAUAGUUUUCUUACAUAGGACACCGGUAUCCAUGAUAUCUGACCAAGCUACGCAGUUUUCUUCACAAUUUUGGAGGUCCUUUCAGAAGGGUUUAGGUACCUAAGUAAACCUAAGUACUGUGUUUCACCUUUAGAUGGAUGGGCAAGCUAAGCACAACAUUUAGAACCUUGUGGAUAAGUUUAGAGCCUGUUUAAUUAAUUUCAAGGGCAAUUGGGUGGAUCACUUGCUACUAAGAGAGUUUACAUAUAAUAAUAGCUACCAUGCUAGUAUUAAGAUGGAUCCUUUUGAAGGACUGUAUGGAAGAAGAUGUAGGUCGCCUAUAGAGGGGUAUGAAGUGGGCGAGACUCAGUUAUUUAGGCCUGAACUUGUUCACCAGGCAAUGGAAAACGUGAAACUUAUUAGAGAAUGACAUAAGACAACUCAGAAUAGACAAAAAUCCUAUGUCGAUGUUAAAAAAAGGGAGUUGGAAUUCGAAGAUGGUAAUUGGGUGUUUUUAAAAGUCUCUCUUAUGAAGGGAUUCGUAUGCUUUGGGAAGAAAGGUAAGUUGAGUCCUCGCUAGGUAGGACCAUACUAGAUUUUGAGAAGGAUAGGUGCAGUUGCGUAUGAGUUAGAGUUGCCUGCAAACCUGGGUUCUGUUCAUUCGGUAUUUCAUAUAUCCAUGUUGAAGAAGUGUAUUAGAGACCAUUCUCUAGUGUUACCUAUAGAAUAGAUCAAAGUGUUGGACUCCUUAUCCUAUGAAGAAAUGCCUAUAGCAAACUUAGAUUGUCAAGUUAAAAAAUUAAGGAGCAAAGAGAAAGACUCAGUUAAAGUGUUGUAGAGAAACCAGAAAAUUAAAGAAGCAACUUGGGAAUAGUAGGAUGACAUGCGAGCUAGAUACCGAAGCUUUUUUGAUCCAACGAAAGAAGAAAUGGAAGGUACAAUCCUUGUCUUACCAUGUCCUAUGCCUUAGUAUGUUUUAAAUCGUGCUUAUCUGGGUUUUGUGUUAUCAUUCGGGGAUGAUUGAACCAAAGGAGGAGAUAAUGUAAUGCCCCAUAAAAAUCCUUCAUUUGCUAUCUCGUAGUAGCUUGCUUAUAGAGUUGAAAACAAAAAAAAAAUAAAUUCUAAGUGUCAAAGAGACUUAUUCUCAUUUUGAAUUUCCUAUCUUUGAGGAUUUUAUUUUUGACCUUUCCGACCUUUAUUUCUUGAUUUUUUUGUAGAUAUACGAUGGGGAAAUUCAAUAUUACGUAUUGGGUGCAUUUUAGGGGAAAAACAUACUGGUUUGGAAUGCCUUUGAAAUGCUCCAGCAUUUUGGGUUCAGUUUGGGCGCAUUUUAGGGGCAGAUUUAGGGUCAAAUUCAAACGACCAUGACUUCUUUUAUAUAAUGUAAUGGGAGAGCUGCUAUAUAUCAAAUGAAAUCGCUUUGACUCUUCUUUUUAAUCCCACUGAUUUCAUGCAAAUCCAAAAUCUCAGUCAAAAGUUAUGCCCAUUUUACUUCAACAUAUCAGCCUGUCAACUGGCAGAAAUUUUUGCGACAUAUUUGAUUUCUUUGGGGGUAAAAUGGAUAUUUCCCAUCCCCUAUCAAUUACUAACACAACAUUUAAGCCUUAAUUGACCAAAAGAUGGUCAUUUUGUUCGAAUUUGUCAAUAACCAAAUCCCUUAGUCCCAAAAUGAAAAUGAAAAUCCCUCUAAAUUCAACCGUAAAAUUUUGAAAUUUAUUUAAGAUUCAAAAUCCUCAUUGCGAGGGCUACAAGAAACACCCAUCAAUUGUUCGUACAACAUCCCUAACGCGAGAGUUCAUUUUAAAGCUUCUAAUUUAAGGUACGCGAGUUUUCCUAAAAAUCUCAUAGGCAUAGAAAUCCUGAUUGUAAGAAAAGGGUUUCGGAUUUAUGAAUAUAUUCAUAUUUUAGAAAUAUUGAUGAUAUUGUUUUGGUCUUUAGGUCUUCCCUGAAUUUAUUUGAAUUUAUAUAUGUAUAUAUGUUCAUGCUUUAACGUUGAUGAUUGAAUUAAGAGCAAGAUUCAAGUAAAAUCCCUCUUUUGUAAUGAUUUUCUUUACGAAUCAUAUGCUAUGGAUUAUCUUGAAUGCAUCAUUGAAAAGCAUAAUAUGAAAUGCCUUAGGUAUUGUUAAAAUUGGAUUAUGAUUUUGAUUUAAAAAAAGAGGGUAGUUAUGUUGAUGAAUAUUGAAAAUAUUAAUUUAACGAAAGAGUGCAUUAUUUUGCCAAAAGCACAUGACAACCACAUGUUUAAAAGAUUCUUGCAUAGUUUUGACUUAUGUUUCGGAACAUGAAAUCUCUUAAAAUAUUUGUAUGUUUGGGUGUUCUGAAUUGAGUUUUCAUGAAAGAAUCAUACAUGGUACAAUGUGGCUCAGAAUUAGGACUUGGAAGUAUUGGUGUGAUGACAUCAACUCAGUUAAAGCCAUAGUAAUUCAGAAUAGAAUAGAACACAUGUUUGAAAUCAGAUUGUCAGAUGUUGAAACUAGAAAUAUGCAUGAUUCAAAAUAGGAUAAAAUUGGACAUAAAGAGAGCUUAGGUGGUUCCCCGAAGAAGACAUGAGUUUAGAUAACUCAUUUCCUAAAAUCAUAAUUUGUCGAUCCGAGUAUAUUAAUAUACACUGGUCUAGUGCCCUGUGGCAUAUCAGACUCAGACACUCCAACCCUUGCGGCAUACUUGGGUUGGGGGCUUCCCCGCCCAGUCAAUGGAGGAUUUCAUAUAGCUCAUUAAAUAUCAAACUUAUGUGGUGUGUACAUUUUCGAAAAGGGAAGUCUAAGUACCUUAUGGUUGUUAACUUACACUACCAUGAGAUUAACUAAGUGUGGGGUGUUUUGACAUCCCCAUACACUGAGUGGGUGCUAUAAAAUUACGAUAUGUUUGCCAUUGCAUGUGAGUUUAUGUUUUACAUUAUGCAUGCACUUAUGUAGAAGUGUUAAAUGGGAAAUAAGUAUGAGUUCAUAUUUAUGUUGUUAUGUUGAGACAAUGGAAUGUGCACACCUAAAGUUGUUUUAAUAGAAUGAUGUGGAUUAUUUUUGCCAUAAGAUUGCAUAAUAGUUUGAAUUAAUGAUUGAUUGAUAUUUGAGGAGUUGUGCUCAUGCAAAUAAAAUAUCGAAUAGGGGAAGUCUUAGUACCCUAGUUCUUAUACUUAAGUACCUAUGAUAGCAACUAAGUGUAGGGUGUCUUUAACACUUUGUCACACUUAGUGUUUGCUAGUUCAAAAUAGGUGCAUUGUUUGAUGUAUUUGCUGAAUUUUGUGAUUACCAGAUGAGAUAUCUAGUCAUAGACAAAAGGGUAAGACCUCAGCUGGACCUUUUGACCUGGCAAGUAAAAGAAAUAGGCAAAUUAGUUGCGUGCCCCGACCUCCAGCUAUCCCACACGGUCAAGCUAGGAAGUAUGGUGCUAGAUUGUUGCAUAGUUGAAAAAAAAGUGGUAUGCAAAGCAAAAUGAGUUUAAGUAUUCUAUGGAUCAACUCAUUGAUCUAACCAGCUUGUUGAGAGAGUUCCCUAGCGUGGUGCAUCGUAAAGAAGAGCUACACAUGAAUUUCCUAUUUUAGUAGCCCAAUGAGUGUAACUUGAUCCUUGCUAGAGAGUUUUAUGAAAAUUAUGACUUAUCGAAGAGGGACUCAGAAGUCAAGAUAUGAGACCAGAUGGAUACUUUCACUGCUCAUUCUUUGAAUGUCCUUCUAGGUACACUUGAGGUAGAUGUUGAGCCUUUGAAGAAGAUGUACAUCCAUCUUCCUUAUAUAGAUAUCCACCAUCUAUUAUGAGGGAACCACUCUAUGGCCAGGUGGUUACAUCAUAGGGACAACAAUAUUCACCUUGCAUUACCCUACAGCCAGAUGAAUAGGAAUAAUAAUCUACACUUUUCUUACAUGGGACACACAUGACUGAGGUAAUACGUGUAGAGUAUGUCUUAUUUAUGCCUUAAUGUGUGAUGAUAUUGAUGUGAAUAUAGGUGCUGUAAUCUGUUUAGCCAUUACAAAAAAGAGUUUCAGGCAGGGUGCAUGUAUGGUUUUGGUGAAUUACUUAUGUGGUUUCUGAGGGAUCUUUGCAUAGAGGAGGAGGACCUUAAUUAUAGGCCUAUAGUGGACACACGUUCGGUAGAUAUAUCUGUACUAAGGGGAUCGCUGGGAUUCAUGGACUAAUAUUGGCUAUGCUGAAGCAUUAGGCUUGGAAUGAUGAGAUCACAUCCCAGAUGUAUGGGUUCCAAAUGCUUCAGUUGAGGGUAGGCAGACGCCCAAUGAUAUAAUAUGAUAUCUAAGAUGUUGAUCUUGACUAUCCUCUUUGUUUGCGGAUUGACCCAUACUUUAUAAAGUUGUUAGAUGAUGAUGUACCCACUAACGAUGAGCAUAAGUUUCAUGAUUCAUAUUUUGAAAUAGAGGAGGAAAAUGGCACCGAAGACCUAGGAUUGGGAGUCAAGGCCUAUGGUCCAAAUUCUAAUGAUAACAUGGACGAGAUAUGAUUAAGGAGUUGCUACCAACCUCCUACUUGGUUUACAUUUCAAGCAUUAGGACAAUGCUUCAUUUUAUGUGUUGGGUGAUUGUAUCUCAUUCCUUGUACUCUUAUUAUUUUAUUUUAUUGUAUAUAUUUAUUUUAUUGGAUGUUUUUCAUUUUGUGUGUUGGAUUAAGUCAUUCAAACUAUUUGAAACUACAUGGUCUGUAAUAGAUAGAAUUGAUGAUAUUUACUUAGUAGUAGUUUGCUCAUUAGUUGUAUUUGCUUAUUAGUUGUGUUGUUUAAUAGUUACUUUUGCUUAAAGUAGGAGUAAAAUUUUAGGUUUUACCCUUAAGGCAAUUCUUAAUAAGUCAUCAUUGUUAGUGGCUUCCCCUAUGAAGUAUGGAUGAUGAGCGUCUUGGGGGGAGUUAGUAAUAGAAAAUUGAGGAGUGAUAAGAACUGAAUCACAACUUUAAGGAGAAAUGCUGUUUGUUGGGCCAUGCGGUUGAUUGACUUAGAACAUACUUGUUUUUAAAUGGAAGCAUGUCAUCAAGUAAAAAGGGAGCUAGUGUAGACACUUUAUCUCACUAGGUGUAAUUUUUAGUUUGUUGGCUUAAAUUUUAAUUUGACAAGUAAGAGAUCAGAAACCAAUAGGGGUCCGACUUGAAUCUAGCAUGCACCUAGAGUGGGAGAGGUGUUUAGUUAUUCUACAUGCAUAGUGUUGUCUAUACCUUGCUCGGUGUGUUUUAAAAGAGAUAUAAAGGAUGUUGGGUUUAGAAAUUGAUGUAGGCAUUUUGUUGAUAGACAAAUUUUUAGGCCUAAUGUACCUACCUUUGUCCAUAUCCCUAAUUAGCCUCGUUGAACAAAUAGCUUAAUUUUUUUUGUAGCCUUAUAAGUAGCCUAUUCUUCUUUUGUUCUUUAAUAGUAAUUUUAUCCAAAAACUCCUAAGAACUUUAGACAAAAUUAUUAGAGUAUCGAGUAGAAAUUCCAAUAAGGAUUAUGGUGAAAUUAAAGCCCUUAAAAAGAUAGCUAUUGAAAUAGAAAGUUAAUAGCUGUGGUUGUAAAAAUUAUGAUAUAAUGAGAAGAAAAAGAUAAGGAAAGGAAAAGAAUAUUAGAAAAAAUAAAAAAAAAGGUGAAUAGAUGACACUCCCACCGUAGUGUGUAAUAAGAGUAAGAAGAUAGCGCUACAACAAUAGAAGACGGGAAGGAUUUAAGGAAAGAAUUGGUUGUUAAUCUAAUUAUGUAAGUGUUUAUGUGAUUUACUAAAGAUCUUAGGGAGAUUAUCCACUAUUAACCCAAAUAGUUCCUAUCCAUCCAUUAGACUACAUUAUAAUAUUGAAAGACCUAGUUGAUCCUUCAUCCCAACAUUCUACUAUUAGUGGAGUAGUAUACUACAGCCAACCUUAUGAUUUAUUGUCUAUCAUUUAUUAUCCCUUGUUGAGAGUGAUCAAUUUAAUUUUCAUAUUCCCAUUCCUUUAUAUAUUAUAACAUUGUGAAUGAAUGUGGGAAACAUUUUUAUUAUAAGGGUGCAUGUGGAUGAUAGUCAGGUAACUUAUAAUGUUCUUGAUUGAGUAACUUGAUUGAGUUUGCCAGAAAAUUAAAAGUUCACCCUUGAGGUAAGGAUGUUAUUGAAAAGACUAAUCCCAGGUUUAAAGAAGUGAAUUGACAUGUUGUAAAGUAGAAGUCAUGGUUCUAUAUCUGAGUGCUCAACAUAAGUAUUUUGCCUAGGCUAUGAUGUUAAGCAUAAUUAAAUAUAGUGUUUCUUGAAGUUGUUCUAGGACGAAUAAGGUUCUAAGUGUGGGGUGGUGCUCAUGGGCAUAUUUAUAUGUCCAAGCACUGAUAUUCACCCCUAAUAGAACUUGUUCUAUUAGCUAUAUUGUAUUAUUCUUGUUGUGUUUGAUAUGUAAUUGCCUAAUUAAGCUAAUGGACAUGUUUAGUGAUGCAGUGUUGAUUUUUGAUCGACUAGGAUGAAAUUGGAUGUAUGAUGAGAAUUGAGUGAUAAUUGCCGCUUCGGGAUUGAUUUUAUGGACCUAAGAAGAAGUGGAUUCAACUAAAAAAGAAUGCAUUUGAAGGUGGAGUCAAGUGAAGAAGAAAUUAGCAAAGAAGAAAUGUGAUAGUUUAUUUUUUAGAUUAGAGGGGAUUGCCAGUGAAGGUCCGCGAUUAGCCUACGGCAGGGACCUCAUUCCUAUGGUCUACCCUAAGAGUAACCCAUGGAUGCAGAGCUAUAUCCCAUGUAGUAACCAAUGCAACACCAAUGUCUUUUCCCACCAGGCUAAAAUCGUCCCAUGAUAAAAGGAAACCUUAAACAUAGUGGAGACUACUUUGGAGAUGUAUAACAAAGGAAAAAUAACUUUUGAUACUCCUCUUAGGGUUAUUUGAACAUCAUUAUUCUAAGAUUACUUAGUUUUAUGUUUAAAUAUUCAUUUUUGAUGUUGAAUUCGAAUAUAAGUGGAUAAACACUUUUGUUUUGGGGUUAAGGAGAAGACAUGAUUGCACUUUGA